rnacentral:rRNA from 1 species
GAUGAACGCUAGCGGCAGGCCUAACACAUGCAAGUCGAGGGAGAGGUUACCUUCGGGUAACCAAAACCGGCGCACGGGUGCGUAACGCGUAUACAAUCUGCCUUUCACAUAGGGAUAGCCCGAAGAAAUUUAGAUUAAUACCUAAUGGUAUAUAAGAGCGGCAUCGUUUUUAUAUUAAAGCUACGGUGGUGAAAGAUGAGUAUGCGUUCUAUUAGCUAGUUGGAGAGGUAACGGCUCCCCAAGGCGACGAUAGAUAGGGGUUCUGAGAGGGAUGUCCCCCACACUGGUACUGAGAUACGGACCAGACUCCUACGGGAGGCAGCAGUGAGGAAUAUUGGACAAUGGUCGGAAGACUGAUCCAGCCAUGCCGCGUGCAGGAUGAAGGUCCUAUGGAUUGUAAACUGCUUUUGUAAGGGAAGAAUAAGGAGUACGUGUACUUUGAUGACGGUACCUUACGAAUAAGCAUCGGCUAACUCCGUG